AUACGUAGGUGGCAAGCGUUAUCCGGAUUUAUUGGGCGUAAAGCGAGCGCAGGCGGUUGUCUUAGGUCUGAUGUGAAAGCCUUCGGCUUAACCGAAGAAGUGCAUCGGAAACCGGGCGACUUGAGUGCAGAAGAGGACAGUGGAACUCCAUGUGUAGCGGUGGAAUACGUAGAUAUAUGGAAGAACACCAGUGGCGAAGGCGGCUGUCUGGUCUGCAACUGACGCUGAGGCUCGAAAGCAUGGGUAGC
rnacentral:rRNA from 1 species